rnacentral:rRNA from 1 species
CAGUAGCCGCGGUAAUACGAAGGGUGCAAGCGUUAAUCGGAAUUACUGGGCGUAAAGCGUGCGUAGGCGGUGAGUUAAGUCUGCUGUGAAAUCCCCGGGCUCAACCUGGGAAUGGCAGUGGAUACUGGCUCGCUAGAGUGUGUCAGAGGAUGGUGGAAUUCCCGGUGUAGCGGUGAAAUGCGUAGAGAUCGGGGGGAACAUCAGUGGCGAAGGCGGCCAUCUGGGACAACACUGACGCUGAGGCACGAAAGCGUGGGGAGCAAACAGGAUUAGAUACCCCUGUAGUCCCUGUCUCUUAUAU